rnacentral:lncRNA from 1 species
AAACUGUCGGUCAAGUAUUUAGUAGAUAAAGGGAAGUACUUCGUCGAAAUUAAAGAACAGAAGGACGACGCCCUUGAAUUAGAAGUCAAGGGGAUGAAAAGGUUUUCGGAAUCUGACGAACUUGAUCAUCAAAAGAAAUUGAAGGCCAUGAAGACUCUAAUUACUCGAUUUGAGAAGGCGCUCAACCCUAAUAAAGGCACCCUUAACAUGUGUAUGAAAAGCUUGUACUCAACCCUAAUAAAGGCACCCUUAACAUGUGUAUGAAAAGCUUGUACGCAGGAGACAAGGAUAAGUGGCGUGAAGAUCACCUAUCUGCACACAAAUUCUUCUUUGAGCAAGCACAACUCAAGAAUAUUUAUGUGUUGGUGGAUCUGGGACGCACACAACUCGAGAAUAUUAAAGCCUACAAUUCAAAAACAUUAGCAUUACUAGAAGCUGGGAACUUGAACGAGGUGGCGUUGCAUGAGAUGAGAAAUCAGUACCUUUGUUUCUACAAAGGAAUAUUAAGUUUGAGCCUGAGAAUUAACAUAUUGAUUUAUCACUUGAAGAAACCACCACAGCGUCGACGUCCUGAGACGAGUUUGGUGGGCAGAUAUUCGGCAUGGGUGGAAGGUGAACUCCGGCAGUACGAGGAGGAACUAGAGACCACCGAGUUCAUAGUGUUUCAAUUAAUGAAGAACAAGUUUGGGGGACUUCGAUCGUUUGAACUUCGGUUGGUACCUGAUUCUUGGAAGGCAAGGUAUUUGAAGAAGGUUAUCUUGAAUGCGAGAGAGAGAGCGGCCUGAGUGGGACAAAGGGCUUCAUCAGAAACAAAAAAGCUCGAGAAACUGAAAACCCUUUGAGCUUGUUUAUUUAAUUAGCUAGCCCUUCUGCUUGUUAUUAACUUUUUACUCUCUUUGUAUUCUUUGUUUUUGAGUUUUUGCUAUUUAUUUUAUUUCGUCAUUAUUCUCCCAAUAAAUUGUGAUAUUCCCUAACGAACGACUACGAUCGAGGGAAUUUAUUUUUUAUUUUUUUUCUACAAUCCAAAAGAACUGUCAUACCAAUAUAAUUUAUUUUUUUCUACACACCUUUUCCUAAUAUAAUCUACCAGUUACUCUUUCAUACCAACUAAAUAAUUCAUAUUGGCAUUGCCUUAUGUGGAAUGCUCAAGUUUAUAUAUCCAUGGCCGUGAAGGCAUCCUCACAUUCAUACUCCUCAUCUUGAUACCCUGCAUCCUGGAAGUGAUCAUCUUCAAAAAGAUAAAAUGGAUCUUCUUUGCUUCUGUGAGGUUGUUCUCUGUCGUUCAUCUCUAUGACUGAAAUGAUCUUUCCCUUUAUGCAGCCAAGGUCAAAUGAAGUAUCUCUUUGUCAUAUCAGUACAGUAAACUGCAUAGCUGGCAGCAAGUGAGAGCAAUAUAUUACCUUGAGGGCAUGAGCGCUUAGAAAAACUCCAGCGUUUUUGUCCUUCAAAUCAUUCAAUGCAAGUUUAACUGCCUUCUUUACAAGUUUUUGAUCAGGUUGCAUCUUUAGCCUUGCUGAUUGUACUGCAACCUUGGAAGCAUGUCAAGGAAUGGCAUGUACAUAUAACAUAGGAAGCAUGUUAAGGCUAAUGAAAUUCGAAAAAAAAAAAUAAAAAAUAAAAAUGCAUGUUAAGGCUAAGUUAACCAGUUCAAAAUAAUUGAACAUCCAACAUAGUUUUGGGCCUCAGUGAGUAUGAGUAUUUGGGCCUCAGUAAUCUGGGCUCUAUUUGAAUGCAGCCCACACAGCAAUGCAUUGUGAAGGCACUUAUGUUUUAGACUUGGGGCAGAUAGAACUAUUUUCAUUGAAAAAUGAAGCUGUAUGACUCAAUAGUUAACGGAAUACCGAAAUCUCUAACUGGAUUUUUCCUAAUGAUUUUUCGAAGUCAGCAAAAAAGAAAAUUGAUGAGACAAUUUUUUUGAUUAGACAUCUUCAAACAAGUAGGUUUAUCCAUUUUGUUAUCUCAUUUGGUACAAUUAGAGGUAUAAUAACGAGCGAAACGUACUAAAGUUUGAUGCACUUGGAGCACUAAAAUGUUUUUUUGUUGUUGUUGUUGUUAGGUUGAAACAUUGUCAAAGCUUUUGUAUUAUAGCCGCUUACACUAGUCCUGCAUCUGCAUGCAUUAACCCUUUGAUCUUCUUAGCAAGGUUUCAGGUAGUGAAAACUUCACAAUUGUGAGAGGUUUAUUUUCUUUUGGCAAGGUUAAAAGCACGCUAUCAUCAUGGAGUAGUUGAGCUUAACACCUCAAUUAGCAGCACCAUCGUCCAAGUGGAAGUCAAGAUCAAAUGCUCAAUAUUUGCACAACCAAUCAAUUCUGGAAUUGGAAGUCAGCUGAUUAAAGUAGAUGCAAUUUCAAGCUUCUAUUCUGUCAGUCUUCCAUUGAGUGCUGGACUGUUGAAUGUGGACUCACUCUCAUCAGCUACCAACUUGACAUGUUCCAAUUUUCAUGUUCGUAUUAUACUAUUAUUGUAACAAGCACUGCAACUCUUCAAAAAAAAAAAAAUAUCAAUAUACACGUACAACACCAAAAACAAGAACAGAAAAUAAAUUUGGUAUUUGUUUAUGUUGUAGGAUGGGGCUAACCCAUUAAGUUGGGGAAAGAUAGCAUGAGAGUAAUAAAGGAACAAGUUGGUAUGAAACCUAUCCACAUAGCUAGGUCAUCUCUACUUUGAAGCUUUUCAAACAGUUGCCUAUGUUGAGUAAGUGAGGAUCGAUGUUGAAACAUUGGGUUGAAACUAGUUUGUUUGAUUGUUUGCAUGAGCUUAUUGGAAUAAAAUUAGCUUCUUGGUGCUAUUCUGGUUUGUUUUACAGCAAUGGACAUUCAUUGUGAGAAUAACCCUGUAAAUAAAAAUUGAAGCUUUGGCCAAAGAACUCUUUAUUUUGAUUGCGGAAACCACCCCUGUUGAAAUUCUUUUGGUGCAUGUUGAAUAGUUUCAACUUCUAUAUGGUUGCCAAUAUGUUACUUGUUCAGUCUCUCAUUUGAUCACUGUUAAAGAAGCUUUCAGAUGCACUGUCAUUGUAGUAAUUAGUUCUCGUAGUUCUGGUCAUUUGCUUAUCAUUGUAGACAAUGUUUCACGGUGCCAGCAUAAUGGUGCUUCUGCCAAUGAGGAGUGCGUUAUUAAGGUAUUUUUCUUUAUCUUACAGCUUUGUAAUGUCAUGAUUCUUUGUGGCAUGCACUUCUGAGUUAUGCAAAUGUAUUAAACUAGUGAUAAUGGUGAGAAGGCGACAGGUGGUGGAGCUUACAAUUUUGCGGAUCUCUUUAAAGAAAAGCUUGACAGAGGUCUGUCUUAGCAAGGAAGAUGAAAUGGACAGUCUUGUAGCUGGAGCAAAUUUUCUGCUUAAGGUGAACUCCUAGCAAAUUUUGCGCUUUCUGCCUAGGCAGUCGCUAAGUGCGCUUGCCUUAUGCCAGGAGUACCGUGAACUCCGUCGGUACGUCAUUUUGUAACCCUUUGCUCCUUACCUUAUAAAUAAGCUAAUGAAGUGCUUUGAUUUUUUUAAGUUCGAUGUCUUUUUCAGGAUGGCAAGGAAAUAUGGAUGCAUGGGAGGAACUAUGAUAUGGCAAUGGCUCCAGUCCCCCCAACGGUGGAGGGAGGCAUGAGUCGGAUAUAAUUGAAUGUGUUAUACGUUUACAUUAUCCAUUGUAAACGAGAGCUAAUAUCUUUCAAGCUUUGGACGUUAACGUCGAAUUUUGUUAUGGUAGUUAUAAUAGAACAGAUCUAUCUUUGUAAGGGUGAAUAGUAGUCUAACAGUGUGACAAUAUAUGAAAUAAUCAGACCUUCACUUUCCACUAUUGGACAAAUUGGAAAUAUAUGUUCGUGUCUGAGUCCAAAUUUCCAUUGUUGGUUGGGGAGGUCGUGAAAAGGGAUUACCUUCUCUAUUUGGAUUCAAGUUGUUUGUGAAUUAAAGUAAAGCAUCCAAAUUUCGUGAAGAGACAAAUUUCAAAACUUUUUUUUCCCCGUCAGAGCUGCCUACUUUCAUAUUAUUUCUCAGCCUUUUCUCUAACUUUGUCUCCAUUUUUUUCUAUUCAAUUCUUAAAGAGACCGUAAUGGCUUGAUGUACGCGCAUGUAGCUAGGUACACAACCAUUUCCCACAUCUCAUACGGCAUAAAACGCGUAGUCAACUAAAGAUGACCGGCAGUCUCCCCGUACCUGAACUUCGAUCAUUAGCGAUUUAGCGUCAUUUGAAUAAGAUAAAGUUGGCCAACUUGGUCGUGCUUCAUACGACUAUAAAUUCUUGUUCGUCUAUCUCAUUUAUUUACAAAGAGUUGAAGAUACAGCAGGCUGCUUCAAACCUUUCUCUUAUCUUGUAAACCUCCUCAUCAUCAUGUCCUCAUCAAAGGCGAGUUCUUACGAGAAGUUCUCAGAUGCUCCGGCAACGGGUAUUCCGGUGAACUCCAGCGACCCCUACUAUAGUCAUCCUGCUCAUGAUAACUCCCACAUGCCAGCAGAUGCUCCUCCAUAUCAUCAUCAUCUCCAUGCUCGAGCCCCCGAGCCUUGGAAAUCCGGCCUCCUUGACUGCUUCUCCGAUCCCAAAAGCUGUAAUUACCUCACAACCUACCCCGAUCCAUCUUUGUAAUUAAUUUGCUCGAAACUAAUUUUUUGUGUAUGUAUCUAUGCACAGACUGCCUAACAUUUUGGUGUCCUUGCGUCACCUUUGGCCAGAUUGCUGAGAUUGUGGAUAAAGGCUCUACAUGUAAGCACCAGCUUUCUCUGAUCCUUCUAUAUCUUUUUGUUUUCCCUUACUUGCUAUAGACAGAUAUCAUUGAGAUCUAAUUGCGUUCUACAAAUGUAGCUUGUGGUGUAAGUGGAGCAUUGUAUGCGUUGAUAGCUUUUGUGACUGGUUGUUCUUGCAUCUAUUCUUGCUUCUACCGCUCGAAAAUGAGGCAGCAGUAUUCUUUGGAAGAGAGCCCUUGUGGUGAUUGUUUGGUUCACUGCUUCUGUGAGGCCUGCGCCUUGUGCCAGGAGUAUCGUGAGCUCGAAAGUCGCGGUUUCAACAUGUCCAUUGGUACGUCGUUUUUUGUAAAUCUCUUUCCAAAUUCUUAACUUGGUCAUUUUCAUUCUAGUUGAUAAUGUUAGUUCACUGCUAAUAAUUAUACCACGUACGUUGUUACCGUCACACAACAUAAAGAAGAGAGUAAAAAAACUCGAUCAAAACAUAUGCAUAGUGUUCAACCAUAUAUAUCUAUCUAAUUGUCAAAUAAAUGGACGACUUUUGAAAUAUAGAGUUUAUACAAUAAUUAGAGAGGUGUACAUGCAAGAAAAUGAAAAAGUAGUAAAGAAAUUAAGAAAAGUAGAUCCAUAUAUGAAUUUGAAUUCUAUAUUACAAUGUUUUUCGAUCUAUCAUUGACUCUUAGAUUAAUUAACGUUAAUGGUCUAAAUGUUUUAAUUCUUGAAUGAAUUGUUUCAGGAUGGCAUGGAAAUAUGGAUGCAAGGAACCACGAAGUAGCAAUGGGCUCGAUGCCCCCCAUGGUGGAGGGAGGCAUGAGUCGAAAUAAAAAUGAGAAUAAGAAGAUUUAUGCUGGGACUAUCGAAUUAUAAUUUUUUUUGUACUUGGUUUUUUCUUUUGGAGUUGAAGUUGUGAAUGCAUUUGAUAUAUUAUAUGGGCGUGGAAUUGUGGAAAUAUAGAUGGGAGUACUAUGAAAUGGCAAUGGCUCCAAUGAGUCGGAAAUAAGUGAAUGUGGUACAAGUUUACGUUAUCCAUUGCAUGUAAACAAGAUUAUACUUUUGUACCAUAUAUAUUAACAUCGAAUUGAAAUCAAUCUGAUAUAUUUAAUUUAAGAGAAAAUACCCAAAUACCUAAAAACAAGUUCUUAAACCCCAAUCCAAUUAAAAUAUUUUCUCAUAGCUCAUUUCAAUGAUUCUUAAUAAAAUGUCAACUGUACCCUUCUCUCUCUCUCUCUCUCUCUCAUCUACGUUNUAUUCUCUCUCUACUCUCUCUCUCUCUCUCUCUCUCUCUCUCUCUCUUCGUCUCUUUCUCUCUCUCUCUCUCUCUCUCUCUCUCUCUCUCUCUCUCUCUCUCUCUCUCUCUCUCUCUCUCUCUCUCUCUCUCUCACUCUCUCUCCUUCGUCGCCACCCUCAUUCGCUGAUGCCGCCCCACCCGCCGCUUCAUCCCCGGCCAAGGUUCGGGAGCUUCCGGGCUCGUCACAUCGUGUUCCCGCCACCGGACAUCGACGACUCCCCGGUAACCUUAGUCGACAAGAUCACCACCUCCCUUCGGAAAUCCCGAGUCUUCUCCAAACCCUCCCCGCUGUUGUCGCCGCCUCCGUCCUCUUUCGUCCCCAAAGAGACCGCGCCUCUGGUCCGAUGGCACAAGGGCGAGUUGAUCGGCUGCGGCGCCUUCGGCCGCGUCUACAUGGGCAUGAAUCUCAGCUCCGGCGAGCUUCUGGCCGUUAAGCAGGUUAGGGUUUCCAAUUCAAGUUGUUAUGAUUUCCGGAUUCGAGUUGAUUUUGCUUAAUUUUGGUGUUGGAGUGUGUUAUAGAGCGAUUUGGAUUGCUGCUGUUUCUAAUUUUAUCUUAUUUUUGGCUUAUAGUUAGGUUUCGAUUUGCUAAGUGCUGGAUUUUGAUUCUGGAGUGUUCCUGUAUUAAUUUUGGUUUAGAAGUUCAUUUCCUUGUUGAUUUUCGUCAAUUUUGGUGAUUCAAUUGUACUGAACAGUUAAUUCUAUAUGAUUUAUGUCUUGGAGUUCAAUUAAGAAGAUGAGAGCUAGUUCAGUAAGGGACUUGGCAUGGUUCAGUAUGUAAUGUUGAUAUGUAAUGUGAACAACAAGGAGAAAGCUCAGGUGUGACUUCUGUUCUGGUCAGUAGGGGUCAGUAACUGGUCAUUGGGUGUCAGUAACUGGUUAGUGAACUGGUUACUAGGGGUCAGUAACUGGUUACUGAGUGUCAGUAACUAGUCAGUGAGGGUCAGUAACUAGUUAGUGAACUGGUUACUAGGGGUCAGUAACUGGUUACUGAGGGUUAGUAACUGGUUAGUGAGGGUCAUUAACUGAUCAGUUGUUGGUUAUUGGGGUCAGUAACUGGUUUCUGGGGAAAUUCCGGUAACCAGAGUCCGGAGAUCGGGGAAAUUCUGGUGACCGGAGUCUGGCGGCCGGUGACCGGAGUCUGAGGUUCCGGCCAAGUCUUUUUAUGUUGAAGAGGUGGGGGUAAAAUAGUCUUAAAAUAAUAUAGUUUGUUAAGACUUUAGUGAAGAUUUGACCAUUUAGGCACAAAAAUAGUUUACUUUCAUUCAAAUUGGCUCAUAGAAAAGAUUGUCAUUGGAAUGAGCAAUGAAGAGUUACAAUUAAUACUAAAUAGACAUUUUCCCUUAAUUUAAUAUACGAGGUUUGUGAGUCUCACAAGUCACAUUUACGCUUGAUUAUGGACAAGUGGACAAACACUGUCCACAUCUUUAUGUAUAAAUAAAAUCAAGCUUAGCAAGGCAUAGUGUAUAAUUCAAUCCCGAGAAAUUCUUAGGUGCAACAGCCGCACCACCUGACACAUACGCACCUAACCAUUCUUUGUACACGAUUUUUUUUUUUUUUUCACACCUGCCUUCUUCUUCUUUUUCUUCUUCUUCCUCUUCCUUCCUCUGCUCCGGCGCUUCUUCUUCCUUCCUCCGGCAAAGCUUCUUCGUUCUUUACACGGGGUGUCCUCUUCCUUCCUCUUCUUCGGCCUUCCUCCGGCAAAGUUUCUUCUUCCUCCGGUGAGGCUUACGGUGGAGGCAGCGGGGGUUGUAGGUUGCAGGUUUGAGGCGGUGUAUGGGCAGAGGGAAAGAAGAUCGGAGGGGAUCGAUUUCCUACCGGAGAAAGGAAGAAGAAGCACUGGAACAGAGGAAGGAAGAGGAAGAAGAAGAAGAAGAACGCUGGUGGUGGUGGUGGGUGGGGGGGGGGUGGUUGGGGAAAAAGAAAAACACGUGUUGUUGUGUGACUGGUGGGUCGCACAGGACACGUGAUGCGUUAGCCACACCUAAGAUUUUCUCUUCAAUCCCCCACUCCAUCAUGGACGCAUGCCUUAGAUAUCUUGCCACACAUGCUAAAUCAUAUCGUAUACAUACGUUUUAUAUAUUAUGUGUUGUUUAUGAUGGUCAUUAUGUAUAACUUACUAUGGACAGAUAAUGAAAUGUUAUUCUUACAUAACGAUUGAGUGAAAAGUUCAUCCGAAUAAGAAACAUCGUCUAAUUCCCUAUUUGAUUUAAGAAAAAAAAACGAUUGAUUAGAAAGUUAGGAAAUAUAUCUCAGGUAGCUAGUUUGACAGCCUUUUCUUCUUAGAGUGAUAUUGUUUACGUCAGCCUAAACAAAAGCUUCUAAAUAAAAAAACCGUAAAGGGCUUUUUAAAUACCUGAAUGAUAUUAACACCACGCUACAAAAGCUUUUACGUCAUUUAUAUACCUGAAUGAUGUAUCCGGAUCCUCUCCUCAUAUCUCUCUGCUAAUAUUUCCUCAUAAAACAAUCUUGGCCGUCCAAAUUUAUUCAAAGGCCAAGAUGUCUCCUCUUUUAAUCCAAAACCUCGUACGACUUCGAAUGCUGAGCGAGAGAGAGAAAGAGAAAGAGUGAGAGAGACGCAGAGAGUUGAGGAAGAGAUACAGAGAAUUGGUCCAUCCGCGACUUCAAAUCCCUAAACACCACAACUUCCCGAGUUUCAGUUCGUAAGAUGUUCUGCCCAAUUUCUCUUCACCUCUCACUUCAAAUUGCAUGUUUCGAUUUUUACACAUUUUCACUGAUAAAAGCUUCUUUGGUUACCCAGAAAUCUCGAAAUUGAUUACGGUGAUGAAUAAAUGGCGCCCAAAAUUUCUAGCUUUCUAGGUGUUUGAAACAUUUAGGAACCCAGAUGGAAACGACUUUUGGAAAUUAAGCCUCGAUUGGAAAGAUUGAAUUUUACAUGUUUGAAGUCAUUAAGUUCAAAUUUAUAUAUAUUUAAAGAAGUGAAUUUUGAUUCAUGUUGGAAUCGUAUGAUUCAAUGGUGUUUUAAUAAUUUAGUUCAAUGUCUGAGGUUAGUUUUGGAUUGUUUCUAUGGGAUCAUUCUUUGAAGUUGGAUUUGCAGAAUGGACGACAUGUAUGGACUUCUUUCCUCUAUGUUUUCGUGUGGAAUUGCUGAAGGCUGAAGGUUCAAUUACAAGAAUGAAACUUGCAUCCUAGUUACCCUGAACUUGAUAUUCUGGGUAUGAUGUGAAUUCCGGAAGAGAAAGAGAGAUGAGAGAUUGUAUGAGAUCUUGGCCCUUAAAUAAGAUUGGACGGCUAAGAUUGUUUUAUGAGGAAAUAUUAGCAGAGAGAUAUAAGGAGAGGAUCCGGAUCCCUGAAUGAUAUUAUUACAAAAAAGUGAGUGGGAUGUGGCUCUACCACUGAUGUGCCAUCAAAUUUAGGGCCAUUGGACGUCAAAUAACAUUUAAAACUAGCUCAGGAACUCCAACAAACACGUGUUUUAAUCUGCCCCCUUUUAUUUUAAUCAACGGUGGGAGGUGGCGAUCCGCACCUCCAACUUUCGACCAAUCAGCUCCCACCUCGUUCUCUAUAUUAAAUAGGCCUUUCCCUCACUCUUUUCCUCCACACAAAAAGAAAAGAAAAAGAAAAAGAGAGAAAUGGCCAACUGGAAGAAGAUUGUGCUUGCAACGGCAGCCAUCAUCGGCGGAGGAGCCAUCACCGCCUCCCUCACUGUCUCAGCAGCACCAGCAGCACCAGCAGCACCACCCGUCCUCAACCCUUGUCCUCCACCUCCACCGCAGACGAUGAUGGCAAUCCAGUGGUGGAUGGUUUUCCUCGUAACCAACGUGAUAUGGAUGUUCCAGUGGCAAAAACACGUGAAGAAACGAGACCAGAAGAAGUUGGACAAAUGGUCCGGUGGGGAUCAUUGUACGGAUCACGAAGGCAACCCGCUCAGGCUUCAAGAAUUUAGUGAUAUGAUGAGGGAGGCAGGGGCAAGUGUUGUCUAGGGUUUCAGAUCAGAAUAGAGUUGGUAUUAGGGUUUACUAGAAUUUUUGCCCGCGCUUGGUGUAGGCGCGGUUGAUCAGUUUAGCGAUCAUGGAAUGGGAUAUUGAUGAUGGUGAUGAUAUAGCGUAGAUAUAAAGAUAGUUGUUUCGAACAGUUUGGAAUGCUAUCAAUUUUUACGACAAUCGUUAUGUUAUCUAGUACAUAAGAUAUUUAGUAUAAUAUUAUACUGAAAAGUAAGUGAAAUUGAUACAGGAAUGUGAAUGUAAAAAAAACAUGGAUCGACUUACAUGGGUUGUAUGGGUGCAAACAGUACCACAGUAACAGUCGCCCGGAAAUACAACCAUUUGAAGAAUGAGUUUUCCAAGGAUGCGUUAAGUAUUUGUCAACCAAUUAUUUUUUUUCAAUCGGUAAGAUUUGUCUGAAAUCUCCUCCUAACAAAAUAGGUUUUCCACCAAACAGGUUUUUUAGCCUGGACUUGUGUAUCAUCAGAAUUUGAAAGAAUGUCACGAAGAGUUUUUUCUAGUGACUCGAAAUAAUACUUGUUACACAUUGGAGCUUCAUCAUAAAUAAGAUAAAUGGGCCUAAACAUCAAAGCUGAAUUCUUCUCUUAGCAACCUGUUAUUGAGUUAUGAUAUCUUGUUUUCAUCUGGCAUCGGUAAUCGAUAAUCUUUUAAUGAUUUAGAUGACAUAUUUAAUAAUCGUUCCAAUUCAAAUAAAAGAUUAUUUUUGAGUUGUGGCUCUGGUAUAUUUACAUUAAGGUCACCCAAGUCGAUUCGAGCUUUGUGUAUGAUAUCUUCACACAUGUUUAACCAAUGUGUCUCGAGAAGUUUUUUUGGAUUUACAACGUCAUAGAAUAUAAGUAUGGUAACAAACAAAUAGCGCAUUUCUGAAGCUGUAGCAACAUGCGAUGAGUUUGUUAAUGCUUCAAUCCAUUCCUUGUCAUAGACCUAAAGCUUCACAUGCUUCUUGAUAAGAAGAAUAUGUAACACCUUUAAUAGUUCUGACCGAAAUAAAAUCAUAACAACCUUUCUGGAUAGUCAAUAACAUUCGCAAAUAAUAUAAUUCGCCUCUCAUGGGGUGGAUAUAAGCUAUUCUACCAAUUGUCUUAUAUUGUUUUCUUAGCGUCCACACUUUCUUGCUUUUAUCCCAAACAAAUUUAGUCAGAAAUUCAGCAUAAGUUAAUUCUUUUGCUUCAUCAUGAGUAUUAUUUUCCUGAAAAGUUUUGUUCGUAUUGAACCAACCAGUAAGGGUUGUACGAUCGUUUGCUUUAUUUUUCACAACAGAUUCUACAGAAUCAGUUUCUCUAAACACAACAUUUUCUUAUGAAGGUAGAUGAAUAUCUAAACGUAGUACUGCAAGAUGUUUUGAAUGGAUUGAAUAUUCAAAUAGUCUCCAUACCAAUUCAUGUGGGCCUAGAUAUCGACAAUUGAGAUAAGAUUGAAUUUCAUCGUUCGUAUUGCCGUAUAUUCCUAUUUGUGCUCCGUUGGGACCCUUGUUGAUAUAUUUAAAUAAAUAUUUGAUCAACAUGGAUUGAGAGCACGAUUCAACAUUGAUAUGAGCAUUGUAUUUUAAUAACAAAUUAGCAUUAUAAGGUACAACAAAUUCGUUUCCGAUCUGAAUCUUAUUUUUUAUAGUGAAUCUCGUCUCAUUAUCACGUCGUUUGUACAUAGGCGAUUUGAUUAUUUGGAAUAUGGUCUCGUUGUUGUAUUGUUUUGGGAAAAAUUUAGAGCAUUUGCGGUCGCGGAUGCAUGGAACUUUCAUAUCAAUUUCUCCGCAAGGCCCAUGAAUCAUAAAUUGGCUAACAAUUUCGUAAAGUUUUCUCAUCUGGUAAUUCAGCUAAAAUAAUAGAAUCGAUGUCACUCGGUGUGUAGCAUUUAUGAUGUUUUUUUUAACUAGAGCAACAUAUGAGCAUGAGGUAACCCUCUUUUUUGAAAUUCAAUUGUGUCUACGUCUGCCUUGAUUUCUCCAAAUGGCUCGCCAGAUUUAAUAUAUGCUACCACAUCUUUUAAUUUCAAGUUGAAAAUUCUAGAGACUAUAUCAGAUCUGUCUUCUUGUUUGUAUCCCGGUUUUUUUUUCAAAAUAUCUUAAUAUUUCAGGCCAUUUUGUGUUGCAUGUGAAAGUGAUGAACAAAUCCGGGUUCCCGUAUUUUCGACAAAUUGCCAUUGCAUCCUGAUAAUUAUUUAUCAUAUCUCGCGGACUACCAAUGUGUGAACUUGGAAGGAAAAUUUUUUGGCCAACAUCUCGACCUAAGUUAGCUCCACCUAAAUAAGUAGUAUAAAUUUCAUCACGUUUUUCAGUCCUAUAUUUGUUGUUGUUUUUCCUAAUAAAAUACAUACGGUCUUCUUCGACUAUUGCGUAAGCAUCUACUAAAUAUUGCUGAAAUAAUCUCUCACCUUUUAGCAAAGUAUUUGGAUUUAUCCCUCUAUCAUGAAUUUGAUAUGCUAUGAAACUUCGCAUCGACAAUUUAUCUCUUUUGUUUUCUGCAUUUGGAGCAGUUAAUUGCAAUUUUAAACCAAGUUUAUACAUGUCUUCACCGUAAGGAAAAAGUAUGGGAUAUUGUAACGACAUACAUUUUGGAUAUAUUCUUGAAAUCCGCUGUAAAUACCCUUCGUUUGAUUGAAUUAUAAUAUAUUUAUUCGAAUUGAAUUCCCCUAUAUCGCCAACAAUCAAACCACCAAUUUCAUCACCGAUCGGUUCCUCGUAUUGUUUACUGUCAUUCAAUUGUCGACCCAUUAUGGUAAUGUUAUAUGAAGGCAAAGAACCAUCUUCAAAUUUAUCUCUAAGAGUUCGAUACAAUUUUACUAAUUCAUUGAUAUUGUCAAGCAUAUGCUUGAGGCCCUGCACAAUUUCUGGUUUGAUGAUCUUUUCAACAUCAUCAGACACCAUAGCUUUAAUACGAUUUCUAAUUUCGUUGCGAGUAUCAUAAACAUAUAAUUGAGCAUAUUUAGGAUAUUCACCAUUGAGCGGCAAUAUCGAACCCAUCAGAUGAUGCACUUACCCGCAUAUUUUAAAAACGUAAGGUCCAGACCCAUUAUUUACAUUCUUGUCAAUUUUUACACCCAUGGAAGUAAAUGAAAAUAUCGAAUUGUAUACUCGAAUAUUGUCUCUAAAGAUUAAACUUUGUCGACCAUUGUUUGGAUUUAACAAUUGUUCAAGGAAAUCUGGUGUCUGUGCUGGUUCUGGGAGUUGCGCCUGCCCUUUCUGACAACAGCUUGUGUAUAUAAUAGGUGCAGUUCUUGAAGUCCGUUGAUUUGCCUCAUCCAGCCAAAAAUGUGCAUGACAGUGGGCACACUGAAAUUCGUCAUCACCAGUGUCUUUGAAUUCAACGAUUACACCUGCAAUUGUAAUCUGUUUAAAUAUGACUGAUUAUAAUUAAAUAUACCAGAAACAGAAAUAGUCAGGUGUCAUAUUAUUACCUUCUCUGGUUUUUUGAUAUGAAGCUUGACCAACUGACAUUGGAUCUGUAACCUCGUUCUCCACUGCAGGUUGUUAAGACUGAACCAUUCAUAUCAACAAUGAUGGUAAAUGGUAAUAGUAAGAUAUUGAAUGAUUAAACACACGAUCAAAAGUGACUGAUCACUGACCCCUCUGAUCAUAUGAAUGUUUAAAAAAACUCUAUUCUUCUAGAUUAUUUACAUACACCAAAAAGAGAAACAACCUAGUCUGAUAUCAUUAUCACUAAUUCGAUAUGAGGCUUGACCAUGCGAAAGAGGAACUGUGACUAUGAUGCAGCAAACCUACUGCUUAGUUACCAGGAUGAACAACUACCUUGUCAAUUACAUUCAUAUUGGUAAUGAUGCUAAUAGAUACAUGUCGAAAGGCAUAAAACAGAUGAGCAAAAGUAAAUGUUUCUAAAAAAUACCUUCUGCCAAUGGUAUUUCAUCUUGCAAAUUUUCAAAAAAGUCUUUUCUUCUGGAUGCAUUCUUUCUAGUCCUCACACUAUCAUUCCUGAUUCCUUUAUUGAAUUCUUCUGGUCUAUCGGGGCAAUCAUCUUGAAUAUUUUAGCCGCCUCUGUCUGAGGAUUUGUAUUUGAUCGGUGAAAUCUUUGUGCAUCAGUUGAUGUCUCUCCAUUUUCCAAAUUUGUAAACUUUUUUUUUUUUUAUGGUCAUCCUCAUUUCAGUUGACAUAUCUGGACAGCAUGUGACAAAGGUAAUCAGGCAGUCAUAGUAAAUAAAAUAAAUGAUGGACUGGGAAUAUAAAUUCUGAAAACAUAACCUUCAUUAUCAUGUUGGAAAGUGAUUAUCCGUAUAAUUAAAUGAAUCAAAUCUAAUAAUGAGAAUCAUUCCUUUUACUGAAAUUCGAAAACAAUGGAAUCAUCAUAUUGACGAUGAUAAUAACAGGAACACGUGAAACAACCAAGAACACCAUCAGAAGCAAGUGUAAAAAUAAUACCUUCUACCAAUGUCAUGUCGAUGUUGUGUCUUGAUGCCUUUUUGGUAAUGUUGGUUAUAACCUCUAUUAUUUCUCUAACAUAUCCUUUUAAUCUUUCUGGGCGAUUAUCUCCAACAUCUUGCAACUCUACUACUGUUUCAGGGUUUGUACCUUCAUUGCGGAAACCCUGUGAAUCUCUUGAUGUUCCUUCAGUCUGUAAAGCGGGAAACCUUUUUUUUCUUGCAGUCACUCUUUUCUUAGGUUCUGAUUUUCCUUCAGUUUCCAAAUCUGUGCACAUUUUUUUUCUCGUAGCCAUUCUUUUUUUAGGUGUCAUAUCUGAAUUAUACACAACAACUAAUCAAUCAUGGAUAAUAGAAGAAGCCAACAAAACAAUCAGCGGAAAAAACCUUAGAACGUCAAAUCACAAACAUGGACCAAAGGUAUGACUCAUUAGGUAAGAAGCCAAAUUCAAUCCCGACCAAUCACCCUAAACCCUAAUUAUACAGGGAAGUUGUAUGAUGUGUAUUUACAUAUCUAAAAUACAUGUGUCCCGACUAUAUAAUAUAGGAACACCUAAACUAAAGAGUAAUUUAACACAUUGACAGCACAAAUGGACCACAAUACUCUCCACUUUAAUUGCCUUCCCGUCUCUCGUUCAACCAUUGUAUGGAAACUUUUAAACACCGGCAACACUUGGUCUUUUGUCUUCAAAGCAUAUGCCCACACUUUUCUUGAGUGAUCAUCUAUGAAAGUAACAAAAUAAGAAGCUCCAUCUAUAGUUUUAACUUUCAAAGGACCACAAACAUUAGAGUAAACCAAGUCCAAAAUAUUUUGUUUCCUACUAUGAGUUUUAUGAAAGGAAACUCUAUGUUGUUUGCCGACUAAACAAUGAGAACAUUUGUUUAAAUGUGUACCUUUAACUCCUGGAAGCAUCUCCUUCUUGGCAAGAAUUUGCAGCCCUUUCUCACUCAUGUGGCCAAGUUGUUUAUGCCAUAUUUCUACGGAACUUUCAUUCUCUGUCGUGUUCAGCUCCCCCUUGAAUAACCGAGCUUGCAUUUUGUAGAGUGUGCAACAUUUUCUCCCUCUUGCUAUCACCAUGGAGCCCUUGAUGAGUUUCCACUUUCCACAGCCAAGUAGAUUCAUGUAGCCAUCAUCAUCUAACUUUCCAUUUGAAAUUAAAUUCAAGCGGAGAUCAGGUACAUGCCUUACAUCCUUGAGCACAAGUUUGCAGCCUAAAUUUGUCUGCAAAUCACAUCACCAAUUCCCAAAAUUUUUGAGACGCCUUUAUUUCCCAUUCUCACUAAGCCAAGAUCACCUGCUCUGUAACUUGAGAAGAAUUCUUUUCGAGGAGUAGCAUGGAAUGAGGCACCGUUGUCAACAACCCAUGUCAUUCCUUCACUUGAAAGGCUCAGACAUGUUUUUUCACAUUCGGAAAGUAGCUCUUCACAUUCCAGAGACUCUGAUAAUAUUAUGAUAUCACCAUCUGAAGAAAUCGCAGCAGUGUCCGACUCAUCUUCCUUCACUCCCUUCUUCUUUUCUCUCUUCAUUUUUCUACAUUCUCUUCUAUAAUGACCCUUCUCAUGGCAAUGGUAACAUUUAACAUCCUUCCUUGACCGAGACUUGCUUCUUGAUUUCCCAUGACCAUGAAAAUGUUGGUGUGGCCUCCAGUUCUUAGCUCUUCCCCUUCUUUCUACAACCACGGCCUCAGAAUAUGAAGAAUCUAAAGACUUUCUUCUCACCUCUUCAUUUAGCAAAUUGCUAGUCACUUGACUCAAUGACACAACACCUUCCGGGGUAGAGUUGCUAACUGAAACCACCAAUGUUUCCCAACUAUCAGGGAGUGAACUGAGAAGUAGUAACGCCUGUAAUUCGUCAUCAAGAACCAUAUUCAUUGAGGAGAGCUGAUUGACAAUGUUCUGCAUCUCAUUCAAGUGCUCAUUGAUUGAGGUAUCUUCUUUGUAUUUCAGAUUAACAAGCUUUCUAAUCAAAAAAGCUUUGUUGGUUGCCGUCUUCCUUUCGUAUAAGCUUUCAAGCUUCCUCUAUAAUGCGAGAGUUGUGGUCUCUUUCAAAACAUGAUGGAGGACGUUGUCAUCGAGCCAUUGCCGUAUAACUCCAAUGGUUUUUCUGUUUAGCUUCUUCUAAUCAUCUCAGACAUCGUCUCUGGCUUUUCACCUUCAAUUGGAGAAUACAAGUCUUUGCAGUAGAGUAUGUCUUCCAUCUUUGCCUUCCAGAUCAUGUAGUUCCUCCCAUUCAAGCUAACCAUCCGGCUUGUAUUGACAUCCAUGGUUUUAUCCGCUCACCAGUGGCUCUGAUACCACUUUGUUGGGAGAGGAACCAGAUUAUACAGUAAAAUCACAACAAGAACAACAAAUAACAGCAGCAAAUACACCAAUUUUAACGUGGAAACCUUUCAAUGUGAAGGGUAAAAACCACGGGACAAUCUUCGAAGAACUUCCACUAUGAUAAAUGGGAUUACAGCCACCAAUCUCUCUAGAUCACUAGAGGAAAACUCUCAAGAGAAACACUCUUGGAUACACAAACACAAGAAGACUUAUCAGAGAAAGGAUUGUUGUCUUCUUUCUCUCCUUUUACAGUAAAACCUCUCUCUCUUCUCUAACCAAGGAGCCCCUUCUGCUGCGGACCACUUACGGACUUUCAAAAACCAACCGUUAGAUUACACAAACGGUGCAGAUCUUCUCCUUCUCUCUCUCUCUCUCUNNNNNNNNNNNNNNNNNNNNGAGAGAGAGAGAGAGAAGAUUUGCACCGUUUGUGUAAUCUAACGAUUGGUUUUUGAAACUCCGUAAGUGGUCCGUAACUCUGCGGUCCCCAGCAGAAAGGGCUCCCUCUAACCAAGGCUACUAAAACUGAAUACAUAAACAUACACUCUUCUAGACAUCUUGAGAAGAUGAGAGAUACACCGACAACCAAUUUAAUGGUGUAGUACGCCUUCUUUUUUUUGGAAAACUAAACCAACUCCUUUUUGGUUUUAUUUAUUAUUUCUUUUCUCCAAGUUGGACUCCAACUUGAUUUAGAACGGCUAUUACUAAGUUGUAUAGCAUGAGGAGGGAACUCCAACAUGACACCCCUACGGUCGGGCUUUUCGGCCUUUUGUUUUCUUCCAUUUCAAGUCCGCUUAGAAGUCCUAAGGUUUCCGACUCAAAAUUCGAUAAGGACUUCUAGUUCUAAACCAAAUAGGAUUUAGUCAUGACUUUGAGCCUAUAUAAAGCACCCUCUGUUGUAUUAAGCUUCAGAAACAAUUCGUUUUCACCUAUUAUCCUUAUAGCUUUCACAGCUGAUCAACAAUGGAGAAGAAAGACAACACUAUGACUCGUUCCGGUGAUGUUGACCUCGAUGAAAAAUCCUGGGAGUUAUCAUCAUCUUCACCAAUAUUCUGAGCUUUUGAAACUGUCGGUCAAGUAUUUAGUAGAUAAAGGGAAGUACUUCGUCGAAAUUAAAGAACAGAAGGACGACGCCCUUGAAUUAGAAGUCAAGGGGAUGAAAAGGUUUUCGGAAUCUGACGAACUUGAUCAUCAAAAGAAAUUGAAGGCCAUGAAGACUCUAAUUACUCGAUUUGAGAAGGCGCUCAACCCUAAUAAAGGCACCCUUAACAUGUGUAUGAAAAGCUUGUACGCAGGAGACAAGGAUAAGUGGCGUGAAGAUCACCUAUCUGCACACAAAUUCUUCUUUGAGCAAGCACAACUCAAGAAUAUUUAUGUGUUGGUGGAUCUGGGACGCACACAACUCGAGAAUAUUAAAGCCUACAAUUCAAAAACAUUAGCAUUACUAGAAGCUGGGAACUUGAACGAGGUGGCGUUGCAUGAGAUGAGAAAUCAGUACCUUUGUUUCUACAAAGGAAUAUUAAGUUUGAGCCUGAGAAUUAACAUAUUGAUUUAUCACUUGAAGAAACCACCACAGCGUCGACGUCCUGAGACGAGUUUGGUGGGCAGAUAUUCGGCAUGGGUGGAAGGUGAACUCCGGCGGUACGAGGAGGAACUAGAGACCACCGAGUUCAUAGUGUUUCAAUUAAUGAAGAACAAGUUUGUGGGACUUCGAUCGUUUGGACUUCGGUUGGUACCUGAUUCUUGGAAGGCAAGGUAUUUGAAGAGUAUCUCGAAUGCGAGAGAGAAUGGGACAAAGGGAUAUAACAAGCGGGGCUAUGAGAAACUGAAAACCCUUUGAGCUAGCCCUCCUGAUUGUUACUAGCUGGGUAGAGAGACUUUUUACUCCUGAUUGUCUUUGCUUUUCUUCCAUGUGUCUUCUUAUAAAUGCUUAAGUGAGAACUUCCUUGGAAGUUGUGCUUGGUCAUUGUCCCUGUAGCGUAACAAGCUGAAAUUUCAUUUUAAUUUGGAACUUCACUCAUUUUUUUUUAUAAUCUCUUAAUUAUGUGUUGUGUAAAAGGAAAAACACAUUUAUGUGUACCUUCGUUAAAGUCGUAACCAACGAGAGUAAAUUAUGUAAUUAAUGCUUAAUCAGUUAUUAAUCAGAUUUUAUUGUUAUUAUGUAUGUUAUAGUUACAGUUGUAAUAUCACCUCUAUAUAAAGAGGAGUUUUAAUG